rnacentral:lncRNA from 1 species
GCGACAGACAAGCCUGCCUGCCCCCAAGGCUCCUUCCUGCUCUCCUUGUCAGGAAGGCCCUCUCUCAGCAAGGCUCACUAAUGAUGGAACCCGAAUGGCCAGCCCUGUUCCUGCUGCUAGAGGCUGCAGAACAAGGAGGGUGGGGGGACUGCCAAGAUGCCGAGGCCCAAGGCAAUGGGCACCCGGAUGCCGGAGCAUAUGCCCCUGGGUGGGCACAGGCUACCUACAGGCUGAACUGAGUAGUAAGCAUGCUUUUAUGUGGAGCUCUUGGCUCUCCGAGGGUUCCCUCCAGAGGCUUCCCCUGUCUAAGAUUCUGCAGCUCCUCGGAACCAGGGCCAGCUUCCCCAUUAAGCUUCAGCAAGCAAAUGAGAAGAGGGAACAAAGGCAGCCCAGCAUCAAGCCUACCCCCACCUGAAUGGGAGCAUGGGAGGCCGACUACCACGGGCGUUCAGGCUCCCUGCCUCCUGCCCAGCUCCGCACACAGGGUCCUGUUGAGCUGUUCACACGGGCACUGAAGGGAAAACCAGGAUUUGUAGAUUUCCCCCCAAGAAGGGGAACCAGGGGCCUCCUCCCAGCCCCACUGCUCUUCUUUGGGUCUCCACUAGGGCCCUCAAAAAGGUGAACUCUUCAAGUUUCAGAGGGGAAGAACCAAAACCUAAGCUACCA